CUGUGCUGAUUACCAGCGUAUAGUAAGUUAAUGUAUGGACAGUUACCCAAGUAUAAACAAAAUACUUCCGAGACCCAUUCUUUGUACUUAAAACAGUUUUGUAGAAACAUUAUGGUGAAUAGAAGUUCUUGCAAGCAUUAAUGUUGGUCAGCUAUAGUCUAUAGUAAACCCAACUCAAUCACUCCCCGAACAUCACGAUAUAUGUCGAGUUACUUUCAUUUUCAUGGGGGAAUCACUGUUUAACUGUUACAAGAUAUUUCAUUUUACAUACUUCAAUUUUUGUUACAUUUUGAUGAGAUGCAUUCAAUACUCUUCCACCAAAUUGACCAUUAUUCCGACGAAGCGGAAUAUAUUCCGACAUCUUGAUAAUAUUUUUCCUGGUGUACGGAAGAUAACUCCCAUAGUAACAAACGUCGAUUUUCCCGUUUUCCGCUAGAGGCAUUC
rnacentral:lncRNA from 1 species